rnacentral:rRNA from 1 species
UACGGAGGGAGCUAGCGUUAUUCGGAAUUACUGGGCGUAAAGCGCACGUAGGCGGCUUUGUAAGUUAGAGGUGAAAGCCUGGAGCUCAACUCCAGAAUUGCCUUUAAGACUGCAUCGCUUGAAUCCAGGAGAGGUGAGUGGAAUUCCCGAGUGUAGAGGUGAAAUUCGUAGAUAUUCGGAAGAACACCAGUGGCGAAGGCGGCACCACUGGACUGGUAUUGACGCUGAGGUGCGAAAGCGUGGGGAGCAAACAGG